AUGUUCACUUUAUUUCUCUUGCUGUUGCUGGCUGCUGUGUCUUGUAUUGACUCUCAGGUUGUGCUCACACAGUCUGAACAGUCAGUAGUUGUGGCUCCAGGUGCUUCCUACAAACUGACCUGUGCCUGCAGUGGGUUUACUGCUAGUAGCACUAGCAUGCACUGGAUCCGUCAGGCACCUGGAAAAGGACUGGAAUGGAUUAUUUAUUAUUAUUCAGAUUCUUAUAAGAGCUCAGCUCAGUCAGUGCAGGACAGAUUCACAGCAUCUAAGGACAGCUCUUAUCUCUAUCUGCAUAUGAAUCAGCUGAAGACUGAAGACACUGCAGUGUAUUACUGUGCAAGAGAGACACAGUGA